rnacentral:rRNA from 1 species
GAUCCUGGCUCAGGAUGAACGCUAGCGACAGGCUUAACACAUGCAAGUCGAGGGGCAGCACAGGUAGCAAUACCGGGUGGCGACCGGCGCACGGGUGAGUAACGCGUAUGCAACUUACCUAUCAGAGGGGGAUAACCCAGCGAAAGUCGGACUAAUACCGCAUGAAGCGACGGGGCCCCGCAGUGGGGAUAUUUGCUAAAGAUUCAUCGCUGAUAGAUAGGCAUGCGUUCCA